rnacentral:pre_miRNA from 1 species
GAUGUACUCCCUCCGUUCCAAAUUACUCGUCGCAAAAAUGGAUGUAUCUAGAACUAAAAUACAUCUAGAUACAUCCAUACCCGCGACAAGUAAUUCGGAACGGAGGAAGUAUGUC